rnacentral:lncRNA from 1 species
CCAAUCUGCCCUACCCAAAUCAAAAAUAAGUAAACAAAAAAUAUAAAAUAAUAAUAAACCAAAACCAAAAUUAAAAGUCCAAAAAAAACCAAUAACAUAGUCCAGUUUUGUACAUCAGCAGGCCUAAAUCUAAAUAGGCCCAAAUGCAUAUGCUCAGAAGACUAAACCCGAAUGGCCCAAUUACACCUAGCCCAAAUCAGCCCAAAAUUACAACCAAACUUAAAUUUAACCGAGCCCACUAAAUCAAAAGACCUAGCCCGAAUGCCCAAAC